GACGAACGCUGGCGGCGUGCCUAAUACAUGCCAGUCGAACGCACAGUUUAUGCCGUAGCUUGCUACACCAUAGACUGUGAGUUGCGAACGGGUGAGUAACGCGUAGGUAACCUGCCUGGUAGCGGGGGAUAACUAUUGGAAACGAUAGCUAAUACCGCAUAAUAUUGAUUAUUGCAUGAUAAUUAAUUGAAAGGUGCAAUUGCACCACUACCAGAUGGACCUGCGUUGUAUUAGCUAGUAGGUGAGGUAACGGCUCACCUAGGCGACGAUACAUAGCCGACCUGGGAGGGUGAUCGGCCACCCUGGGACUGAGACACGGCCCAGACUCCUACGGGAGGCAGCAGUAGGGAAUCUUCGGCAAUGGACGAAAGUCUGACCGAGCAACGCCGCGGGAGUGAAGAAGAUUUUCGGAUCGUAAAGCUCUGUUGUAAGAGAAGAACGGGUGUGAGAGUGGAAAGUUCACACUGUGACGGUAUCUUACCAGAAAGGGACGGCUAACUACGUG
rnacentral:rRNA from 1 species